rnacentral:rRNA from 1 species
AUUGAACGCUGGCGGCAGGCCUAACACAUGCAAGUCGAGCGGAUGAAGGGAGCUUGCUCCUGGAUUCAGCGGCGGACGGGUGAGUAAUGCCUAGGAAUCUGCCUGGUAGUGGGGGAUAACGUCCGGAAACGGGCGCUAAUACCGCAUACGUCCUGAGGGAGAAAGUGGGGGAUCUUCGGACCUCACGCUAUCAGAUGAGCCUAGGUCGGAUUAGCUAGUUGGUGGGGUAAAGGCCUACCAAGGCGACGAUCCGUAAAUGGUCUGAGAGGCUGAUCAGUCACACUGGAACUGAGACACGGUCCAGACUCCUACGGGAGGCAGCAGUGGGGAAUAUUGGACAGUGGGCGAAAGCCUGAUCCAGCCAUGCCGCGUGUGUGAAGAAGGUCUUCGGAUUGUAAAGCACUUUAAGUUGGGAGGAAGGGCAGUAAGUUAAUACCUUGCUGUUUUGACGUUACCAACAGAAUAAGCACCGGCUAACUUCGUG